GCAUAUGCAUGCAAGAGCAUAGCAAGAGCAUGUACACAACACAGCACACAAAAUCAAUGAAUCCAGCCUGAUUACAGCAUUGAUACAAUCUGAAAAGUAUCAAAACCCUACAAUACACCAAAAAAGUACAGAUCAACUCAAGAGUUAUGAUUUUGGGAAACGAGAAACUGAGGAACUCUGGAGACAAAAGGAAAA